GAAGUCAAUCAGAUGGUCGCGGAAGCAGGAACCGAAAGGUUGCUUCUGAGGAAAGUCCGGGCUCCAUAGGGCAAGGUGCUGGGUAACGCCCAGUGGGAGAGAUCCUAAGGACAGUGCAACAGAGAUAUACCGCCGAUAGCGGAGGUUGGUCGCUAGACUGACUUUCGAGUAGGUAAGGGUGGAAAGGCGAGGUAAGAGCUCACCGGCAGCCUGGUGACAGGCUGGCCCUGCAAACCCCACUUGGAGCAAGACUGAAUAGGGAGACUAUGAACGGCCCGUUUUUGUCUCCGGGUAAGGUCGCUUGAGGCCGUUGGUAACAACGGUCCUAGAUAGAUGAUCAUCGCCUUCUGAAAGGAAGGAACAGAACCCGGCUUAUAGAUUGGCUUCGCCU
rnacentral:RNase_P_RNA from 2 species